rnacentral:tRNA from 1 species
GGCCUAUUAGCUCAGCUGGUUAGAGCGUCAUGCUAAUGACGCGAAGGUGUCGUGCUAAUAACGCGAAGGUCGCAGGUUCGAGACCUGCAUGGGCCA